GAUGAACGCUGGCGGCGUGCCUAAUACAUGCAAGUCGAGCGAACGGACGAGAAGCUUGCUUCUCUGAUGUUAGCGGCGGACGGGUGAGUAACACGUGGAUAACCUACCUAUAAGACUGGGAUAACUUCGGGAAACCGGAGCUAAUACCGGAUAAUAUUUUGAACCGCAUGGUUCAAAAGUGAAAGACGGUCUUGCUGUCACUUAUAGAUGGAUCCGCGCUGCAUUAGCUAGUUGGUAAGGUAACGGCUUACCAAGGCAACGAUGCAUAGCCGACCUGAGAGGGGGAUCGGCCACACUGGACCUGAGACACGGUCCAGACUCCUACGGGAGGCAGCAGUAGGGAAUCUUCCGCAAUGGGCGAAAGCCUGACGGAGCAACGCCGCGUGAGUGAUGAAGGCCUUCGGAUCGUAAAGCUCUGUUAUUAGGGAAGAACAUAUGUGUAAGUAACUGUGCACAUCUUGACGGUACCUAAUCAGAAAGCCACGGCUAACUACGUG
rnacentral:rRNA from 1 species